rnacentral:lncRNA from 1 species
UUUAAAUUUAAUAAGCAUCCUUAUUCAUUCAAUAUCAACAGAUUAUUAAAAACUGCCUUAUUGGAGAUUAACAGCUGAAAAGAAGAGUGACAUUGCCACUUAAACACACACACACAAGCACUGCUUUUUUUUUUUUUUUGAGAUCUGAGAGCACGUGCAAACCAGUCUUGUUUGCCAAGUAAAGGCUCUCCAACAGGAAAACGACCUCGUGGCGCUGCCUUUUUGCAGUUUAACCUCAGACUCUUGUGCUGUCACUCAGGAAGGGCAGAGCGAAGCAGGGGAAAGCCUGUAUGUCUCUUCCAGACCUGCACCUCAUUAGUACAUGUGUUCCUGAUAAGUGGGCGGUUUUUGUGUGAAAUCGAUAGUCGUCCAGUUAAAUCUGACAUCGAGGAAAGAUUUGGAGACGAUUAAUUGGAGGUGUUGCCAGCCAUGCAUGCAUACGCGCUCCCUUAGCUCUCUCGGUACUGACCUAAUUCAGUGCUCAGCACAGCGCAGGCAAACGAUCAAAGAUGUAUUGGCUCCUUCCCAACUGUUUCUCGUCUUCCUUUCACGGCAGAUGCGCAGAAGAACAUUCUCCCUCUCAGCGCGCAGUGAGAUCCGUUCCCCUUGGGCAAAUGUCAGCUAAAGAAAGUUGACUUCUUAAUCGCAACUGAAAUGAAACUUCUCCGUCCACGUUUUUACUUCCCUUCUCAUGAGACUUAGUCAAGAAAGACUUGUCUUUGUCGCGUCACAGACUGUUUGCAGUUAUUGAUUCUGGUUAUUGAAACGCUUUAUUUGAACAGUUACGUGAACAAAUUUCAGCCUGCGGCUUGGUUCUAGGAGCACUGAAGCCACUCUAGCCUGGUCUGGGAGGCACUGGUUACGCUCCUCGAGCGCUGAAGUAAAAGGAUGAAAAUCAAAAGCUUCCUGGGAUCUGGCCCUUUUAAGCGGGAAAGGGAGGCUGGAAGUGCCUGCGAAGGCACGAGGCUGCUGGGGGUGGGGGAGUGGGGGAGACGUAUCCCUCUGCCAGAUCCGUGGUGAGCCUGUCUCAGAGCUCUUGACAUCCCUCUAUUUGCCCAGAGCAGCCCUAACGUCGAUCUGGCCAUCGCAGCCAGCGCACAAACCGACGGGUACAAAGGCUGCAAGACUCCCAACACCAGCAGCUUCUUGCAUCACCAACUGAGAUUUUUUUUUUUUACUGGUUUCACCAAUUUUCAUAUAGGGCCAAGUCAGAAAUGUAUUUAAAUCUUACCGGUUUCCAUACAAUUCAAGCAGAUGAGUGAAGUUAAACAGAUGCUAAGUGCUCUCCUGACACAAGGCUCUAGUAACUGUUUUUCUUUUCCUUUUUGUUUU